rnacentral:rRNA from 1 species
AGCAGCCGCGGUAAUUCCAGCUCCAAUAGCGUAUAUUAAAGUUGUUGCAGUUAAAAAGCUCGUAGUUGAAUUUCGGGAUCAAUAUAUCGGUCGUGCCUUUGGUACGUACUGGUAUCAUUGAUUUCUCCCUUCUGACGAAUCAUGAUGUCAUUAAUUUGGUGUUAUGAGGAGUUAGGACUGUUACUUUGAAAAAAUUAGAGUGUUUAAAGCAGGCAUUAGCUUGAAUACAUUAGCAUGGAAUAAUGAAAUAGGACGUUUGACCCUAUUUUGUUGGUUUCUAGGAUCGACGUAAUGAUUAAUAGGGAUAGUUGGGGGCAUUAGUAUUCAAUUGUCAGAGGUGAAAUUCUUGGAUUUAUUGAAGACUAACUACUGCGAAAGCAUUUGCCAAGGAUGUUUUCAUUAAUCAAGAACGAAAGUUAGGGGAUCGAAGACGAUCAGAUACCGUCGUAGUCUUAACCAUAAACUAUGCCGACUAGGGAUCGGAUGAUGUUAAUUUUAUAAUGA